rnacentral:lncRNA from 1 species
ACACCACGAGUACCACCGAUGAAGCAACAAACAACUUCAAAAAUUGACAAAUCGAAGAAAAAAAUACUAACCGACUGCGAAGAAAAACGGAGAAAGCCCUAGGUUGUGAAAACUGAUGAAAACUUGAACGAUAAACGAUGAGGCUAGUACCGGAUGAUAACUCUUGACGAGGAGAGUCGAAUGACCCGCUCUGAUACCAUGUUAACUUCCAUGGAUGCCAUGG